UACGUAGGGACCAAGCGUUGUUCGGAUUUACUGGGCGUAAAGGGCGCGUAGGCGGCAUGACAAGUCACUUGUGAAAUCUCCGGGCUUAACUCGGAACGGUCAAGUGAUACUGUCGCGCUAGAGUGCGGAAGGGGCAAUCAGAAUUCUUGGUGUAGCGGUGAAAUGCGUAGAUAUCAAGAGGAAUACCUGAGGUGAAGACGGGUUGCUAGGCCGACACUGACGCUGAAGCGCGAAAGCGUGGGGGAGCGAACAGG
rnacentral:rRNA from 1 species